rnacentral:lncRNA from 1 species
CCAAGUAUUUUCUCUAGGAGGCCACGCCCCGAUUAACCCCAUCCCAUGGGAGUCCCUCCCCUCAUUCCACAAUCCUCUAUCCUGUGGAAGUCUCUCCAUCUGGUGUAUCUGCUGAUGCUUUGCUUGCAGACUUCCCAAGUUCCUAAGUCACUUCUCCUGCAUUUCACAGGUAAGUUUUUCUCCCAAACUUGUAUGAGUUCCUAGACAAGGGUGAUAUUUUCUGAUGUCUUCUCCCGCAUUACACACACACACACACACACACACAUUCUUUAUCUCUUCUGAUUUCCACAACCACCCUGAGAGGGUAGGUAGCCAAUCAAUGCCCCUCAUUAACUAAUGAGCCAGGGUGUCCUCAGCCUCCCCUCCUGCUCUUGUCCUUGCUCCUCUGAAUGUUCUGAAGGUUGCUGAAAGGCACAGCUCCAGCACUGAGGGCCAGAAAAUCUUAGAAA